rnacentral:rRNA from 1 species
GAAAGCUCGGUACCGWGCUCGGAUCCACUAGUAACGGCCGCCAGUGUGCUGGAAUUCGCCCUUACGUGNUCAGUAACACGUGGACAACCUACCCUAUGGAGGGGGAUAACCCCGGGAAACUGGGGAUAAUACCCCAUAGACUAUAGAUGCUGGAAUGCUUUGUAGUUGAAAGGCCCGCCGCCAUAGGAUGGGUCUGCGGCCGAUUAGGUUGUUGUUGGGGUAACGGCCCAACAAGCCUGUAAUCGGUACGGGUUGUGGGAGCAAGAGCCCGGAGAUGGAUUCUGAGACACGAAUCCAGGCCCUACGGGGCGCAGCAGGCGCGAAAACUUUACAAUGCGGGAAACCGUGAUAAGGGAACUCCGAGUGCCCGUAAAAUCGGGCUGUCCAUCUGUUUAAAUAACAGGUGAAGAAAGGGCCGGGCAAGACCGGUGCCAGCCGCCGCGGUAAUACCGGCGGUUCGAGUGGUGGCCACUAUUACUGGGCUUAAAGCGUUCGUAGCUGGUCUGUUAAGUCUCUGGGGAAAUCUACUGGCUUAACCAAUAGGCGUCUCAGGGAUACUGGCAGACUAGGGACCGGGAGAGGUGAGAGGUACUCCAGGGGUAGGAGUGAAAUCCUGUAAUCCUUGGGGGACCACCUGUGGCGAANGCGUCUCACCAGAACGGNUUCCGACAGUGAGGGACGAAAGCUUGGGGGAGCAAACCGGAUUAGAUACCCCGGUAGUCCCAGCCGUAAACGAAUGCCCGUUAGGUGGUAUCGGUGACCACGAGUCAACCGACGUGCCGAAGAAGAAUCGUGAACGUGC